GUACAUUUGUUCUCCAGUCUGUCCUCGGUAGGUCGUGUGAAGAAGGUCUCAUAACAAAAGCAUGAUGAAAACCAAAGCGUGCGAAGUUGCGGUCAGUAUCAAUCAACUGGAGCCUGUAAAAAUCUCAAUCCUGAGAGACACAGGAAGGGCCACAAGUCCUCGCAGCUCUACUGCUCCUUCACCGAUAUUAUAAAUUCGAGGACAUGUAAAUGCCUUUGAAGACAAGCCCCACAUGCAAGGGAUAUUUUGCUCGUUCCUGAAGAUGUCGGAAACCCCAAGUCCCACCAAGCCUAACAUGGCCUAAGAGCUCUCAGUAAAGGUUCAUGGAACAAAAGAUGGGGGGAGGCUGUUUAUCCAGCCAGCGCAGCCCUCCAUCUCCAAUGCUGAGUUUCGAGCACAGAAUGUCUCACCAAAGGAACUCUGGCCAAACACAGAACCAAAACUACUGAUCUGUAAAUAAGACAAAUGUUCAACCAAA